UGGGAGUGUGGAUUACUGAGAUUAUUUGC
rnacentral:piRNA from 1 species